AUAUCUAAUCUGCAGCAUCUCUGAUUCUUUAUACAAGUUGCCCUCAUAUUUUCUAGGGUUUAUAAGAUUUUAGAAUCUCUUCCUUCCUACUGAGAUUCGCUCUCUCUUCUUCUCUUUGCGGUGAAAAGGCGAAAUUUUUCGAUCAUUGAUACAUAAACUAGGAGUUACUCUGGAGAGCACUGCCAUCAUCAAUCAAGAAUCUUGUUCAUCAUCAGUAGCACUAUCAGCUAAGUAUUUUAGGUUUACAACAAAAAAUCAAUUUGUUCUAAACGAGUCUAGGGUUACUUUGAUUUGCUAUUCCUUCUCUACUAGUAAUCUUACUUUUUCUGAUUCUGAUUCUGAUACUGAUUCUAAUUUAUCUAAUCCAUUUGUAGUUUCUUAUCUGAUUAAUUCAUGUGGAUUGUCUGAAAAUGAAGCAAUUACUGCUUCUGAAAAACUCAAUUUCAAAACCACAACUAAACCCGAUUCAGUACUAACCCUACUAAAAGCAUACGGAAUUACUCAACCCCACAUUUCUAAACUAAUCACAAAUCACCCAUCCGUCCUCUCUGCUAAUCCACAUGAAACCCUUAAAUCCAAACUAGAUUUCUUCAAAUCAAGAAGAAUUUUUGAAAAUGACCUAGCCUACUUCAUCUCAAGGUUCCCAGGAUUCCUGAUACAGAGUUUAAAUGAAAGUACAGUCCCUGUAUUUGAUAUCCUCAAGAGCCUUGUUCAUACUGACGAAAACGUGAAUAAAUUGAUUAGACGAGUUAAUUGGGUCCUAAAUUUGAACUUACUUAGAAGAGUUAUGGUCAAUUUAGAGCUUUUGAACUUACCUAAAUUUGAACUUACUUAAAAAAAUGGAUGUUUACAAGAGAUGGGGUUGGUCUGGGGAUCAAAUUCAAUCUGCAUUUAGGAAGAAUCCUCGUUGUAUGACGGUGUCUGAGGAGAAGAUAAUGGCGGUUAUGAGUUUCCUUGUGAACGAAAUUGGUUAUGAUUCAUCAAGUCCUGCUGAAUGCCCAUUAAUUUUUUAUUGUAGUUUGAAGGAUAGGAUCAUUCCUAGGUGCUCUGUUAUCAAGAUUUUAGUCUCCAAGGGACUGAUUAAGGAAAUGAUUCCAUUAUGUUCAAUUUCAACAAUCGUAGACAAGGCAUUUCUGGAGAGGUUUGUCCAGAUGUACGGGCAAGAAGUUCCUGAACUGAUGAAGGUAUUCCAAGGUCAUCGUAAUUACCAAGAUCUACUGCAGAAUUGAAGGAUUUGAUGAGACGAAUACACGGCUCUAGUGUAGGGAAGUACACCUUGUACAGGGUAAGAAACAAGAAAUGUCUAGUCCAGAAGCUUUUGGUCUGCUUACGGCAAUACAGUGGACUCAUGAGCUGGGUGCUAAGAAGGUACACCUUGUAUAGAGAUUCGUUGGUGCAUUGACAUUUUUUAUAUUUGCUCACGUGGAAGUAUGUAAAUUACUGUCUGUCUAUAUUAUUUUCUCGUGUAUGUUAGAAUUUUCAGACCUGCAAAAUUUAUAAAGAGGUUCCUGUAA